rnacentral:rRNA from 9 species
GGGUGCGAUCAUACCAGCACUAGAGCACCGGAUCCCAUCAGAACUCCGAAGUUAAGCGUGCUUGGGCGAGAGCAGUACUAGGAUGGGUGACCUCCUGGGAAGUCCUCGUGUUGCACCCU